rnacentral:rRNA from 1 species
AUUGAACGCUGGCGGCAGGCUUAACACAUGCAAGUCGAGCGGAGAUGAGGUGCUUGCACCUUAUCUUAGCGGCGGACGGGUGAGUAAUGCUUAGGAAUCUGCCUAUUAGUGGGGGACAACAUUCCGAAAGGAAUGCUAAUACCGCAUACGCCCUACGGGGGAAAGCAGGGGAUCUUCGGACCUUGCGCUAAUAGAUGAGCCUAAGUCGGAUUAGCUAGUUGGCGGGGUAAAGGCCUACCAAGGCGACGAUCUGUAGCGGGUCUGAGAGGAUGAUCCGCCACACUGGGACUGAGACACGGCCCAGACUCCUACGGGAGGCAGCAGUGGGGAAUAUUGGACAAUGGGCGGAAGCCUGAUCCAGCCAUGCCGCGUGUGUGAAGAAGGCCUUUUGGUUGUAAAGCACUUUAAGCGAGGAGGAGGCUACUUGGAUUAAUACUCUAGGAUAGUGGACGUUACUCGCAGAAUAAGCACCGGCUAACUCUGUGCCAGCCGCCGCCGUAAUAC